ensembl:lncRNA
CCCUCUUCCCCCAAGUAAUAACAUCUGACUUUCCGAGGUGGGGCUUGGGCCUCCAUAAAGCUCUUCAGGUGAUUCUGAUGGGCAGCUCGAUCUCAGAGCCUGUAGCCUGAUUGGAAGAACAUCCCAGGCAGAAGGGAGAACAAAUGAAAAAGACCCGAGGGGCACCUGGGUCUUCUAAGAAGAGGAGGAAGGCGAGUGAGGCCAGAAUGAGGGAUUCAGCGCUGGAGGUUGAUGAGGUCAGAGCAUGUAGAGAGGUCGGGAGGCGCGGGGGUUGAAAACUAGGAUCAGAAGGAAUUGGGAAGCUAGGGUGGUGGGUAUUUUAAAAAGCUUUAUUGACAUAGCAUUUAAAGUGUAUAACUGCUUUGGGUAUUUCACAUUAUUUUUUUAGUGGGGUCAAAGAGAUGUAAUAAAAUUUGUCCUCAUAACCAUUUUUUUAAAAAGUGUAUGAUUCAGUGACAUUAGUCAAGGUUGGGUUUUAAACAUGUAAAUGUUUUCUAAGCUUCAGCGUUCACAGACCACCUGCAUCUUGGACUCCAUCAGGACACCGCCUCUAUUGUUACUUAUUUUCUUUAAUCCAGCGAAACAAAGGUCACUCACAUUCCUUCUAGCAUCACUGGUGUGGGUGCGUCCCGCACCCUGAGCUGUGUGCUGAGAGAUUGCUCCGUACUGGAAUUUUUUGGUCUCCAUGAUAACCCCACGAGGCAGGCACCAAUUCCCAGUCCAUUCUCCAGAUGAGGAAAAGGAUCUGCUCAAGGUCACAAAACUGGUCAGUCAGCGCCAGAGCCGGGAUUCAAAUCAGUCUGGCUGACUCACAGCCCAGGUCCGUGACCCCCUCAGAUGACACUGGCCCAGAGUCGGUGGCACUGUGCACAAGCACAGGUGUCUUGUGGACGCGGCUGAUGGGUGAGCCCUUAAAGGCUUCAGAUUCCUGGCUGCAAGGGAGUCUGGAAGAUGAAAUUUUCUGCUCUCCAGCCUCUUCAGUUUAGGAAGGCCAUGAUGUUAAUGGGAAACCAUCCCCUCCCUGGCCCUGUAGAUAAUCCAAGGCCAGGCUAACUGGUCACCAGGUGACUUGUUAACAUGAUUGAGCACUGACCUCGGUUCACCUUGACGAAAUGAAGGAAGAGAAGGGAACUUCAUUUAUCCAGCAUUUUUCACAUUCCCGGUCACUUAUGUACAGGGUGCAUUUUGCAACUGAGGACACACGGGGCCCAGAGAAACGGAGGAAGCUUCCUGAGGUCACACAGCUAGUUACGGCAGAAGCCGGACUUGAGCCAUCCUGUUGACCAAAGAGUGCCUGCUCCUCACUGUUACUGCGUAUUUGUUAAUAUUGGGAGACGCUUUUGUAUAAAAGCCAUUCAUUCUUAAUUAGGCACUUUUUCUUGGCUGAGCAGUUUCAGGUGCUGCGGACAUAGUGGUGGGCAAACCAGGAGGAGCUAGAUAAAGGGUAGUGUUAGGAUGUUAGGAUGCAAGUUCUCAGCAAGUCAGGGAAUAGAGUCAGGUGAAACAGGUUUGGGGUUAAGUUGAUAUUGAUGUGUUUCCUUUGUACUUAAAUGUAUAAGAAAAGAUUUGUGCUUUUUUUGAAACGUAGGUCCCUUGGUUUAGUUUUUGUUUUUCCUUUUUUUGAAAAAAUUUAUAUAUUUUGGACUGUGCGGGAUCCUCAUUGCUGUGAGAGAGCUUUCUCUAGUUGCAGUGCGUGGGCCUCUCUCUGUGGUGGCUUCCCUUUUUCCAGAGCGUGGGCUGUAGAAUGGAGGUUCAGUAGUUUUAGGCUUAGUUGUCCCACGGCAUGUGGAAUCUUCCCAGACCAGUUGUUGAACCUGUGUCCCCUACACUGGCAGACAGAUUCUUAACCACUGGACCACAAGGGAAGUCCUGGUUUUCCUUUUGUGAUAGAAAAAUAUUCCUCCAUUCUGAAAAAACCAUAGACUGUGCCAACUGAUGGUUUGUCUCAGUGUCUGGGACACAAAACGGCACAGUGAUUGUUGUUGUUUAGCUGCUAAGUCACGUCUGACUCUGAGUCCCCAUGGACUGUAACCUGCCAGGCUCCUGUCUCUGUGGCACGGUAGGGACUGGGGUAAACGAAUGAACCUGGAGAGCAGCUCUGGUGUGGCUCCUGCUGGUCUCGUGCAUACGUAGGUCCCUGUGUUGCCAGAUGGCCCACGCUUUUUAGUGGGAAGUUGAAAAUUCAUAUUUUGAGUUAUGUCUUCCAAAUUACCUAUAGUUGUACCAAAUUUUGCAAAUGUUGUGAAAAUCAGUCAAACUUCUCUGUGGGUCAGAUCUGGCCAGUUUGCAUCUUGUGUGGGAGAGCCUUAAUUUAGGCGUCAGAGAUACUGGGUUGGAGUCUGGGUUCUGCUACCUUCCAGUGGGUGGGGUCACAGGCAAGCCACGACACUCCCUGGGCCUCAAUUUCCCCUUCUGCAAAAUGGCACUCCUGAGAACAGCAUGGUCUGCCGAGCCUUUUACUGAACCAGUAUUUUCUAAACGGUGGGUCAUGGAGUCGAUUUAGUGGAUUGCGACCUGCAUCUUUUAAAUAGAGACCAGGACAGGAUGGAAAAUAACAGGAUAUAUCAUAGUAUUAUAGGUCAGCAUUGCGUUGUGGAACAUAUUUUAGUUGUAUACACAUAAUAUGCACACACAUAUAUAUGUUAGACUGGGUCUUGUUAUAGAUAAUAUGCAUUUCUCAUGUGCAGUGACCGAAAAGGAGGCUUUCAAAUAAAAAAUGUUGUUCAUGUCUGAAUGCAUUCAAUACUGGCAACAUUUCUGUGAGGUGGGUUUUCUCAUCAACCCCAUUUUACAGGUGAGAAAGCUGAGGUUCAGAGAGUGAAGUUUCCACAAACAGGAAAAGGAAGAGCUUGGAUGUGACCCCAGGCCACAUCUUAACCACGGGCAAUCUGUCCUCUCCAGACAGCACCUGUGUGGCUGCGAUGAAAGGCGCUAGUGCAAGUCCAGGGCUUGGCCGGGUGCCUGGGACAGAGCAGGUGCUUAAUAAAUGUAUGAGCCAGGCUCCUCAUUCAGCCACACCAGGUGGCCUGCAGGAAUCCAAGGGCUACAAGAGACAGGCGGGCUGGGCUUCUGCAGUCCUGGUACCCAUGCGGUGGGGACAGAGCUACAGGGGCAAAGAGACACCCUCUCCCCUGCAGCCUGAGCUCCCCAAAUAACUCAUUUUUGGCCAAAUACUUGAUGGUCGAAUUUUAAAAUCAGUAUUUGGCUGGAGCUGGCUUAUCCAUCAUCCUUGAAUGAACUUCUGCAUAUUUUGCUAUAUUGAAUUUAUGGAUAAAAAAAAAAAACCAUUUUGUUAAACAAUUUAAACUAUCAUGACUAUGGUAUUAUUAAGCGUUAGGGCAGUUAACUUUUAAAGCCGGGCUGAGUGUAGGAAGAAGCGCUUCCAGGCCAGUGGUUGCUGAUGGCUCGAGGCCACCCUGCUGCUCUCUGCUUGAAUCCCCGUUGCGACCACAGCAGGUCAAUUAAUCCUUAACUCUUGGGCCUGAACAUAUCCUUGAAGGUGCUGCAGUUUCAGGGAAGCACUCCCCGAAGCAAGGGCGCAGCCUAAGAAAAUGCUUCUGGAAUCCUUUCAGUGCUAUUUCCAGGCCUAACUUGGGGUGGCACCUGCGGGCUGUUGGGGCCAAAGGCGGGCUCACACUGCCCUCUGGUGGUCACUGGCGAGCACAGCGUCGCGGGUGCUGAGCCGGCAGCAUCGUCGGGGCUGCGGGCCCUGGGGGAGAACCGCGCAGCGCGCUGAACUCAGAUUUUCCUCUACCCAGAAUCUGUCUAUGGAUACGGACGACAUCCUAGAAGUUUCCCACAUCCUUGUGAGGAAAGAAACCAGGCUGCAUUCUGUAUGGGUCCAUUUAUAGGAGCCUGAAGAUCUGGGGUGACAGAAAUCAGAAGAGCGGUGGAAGGCCGGGAGAGGCUGGGAAGGACCGUGAGGGGCCGUCGUCCCUCCUCAUCUGCGUCGGGG